UACGUAGGGUGCAAGCGUUGUCCGGAAUUAUUGGGCGUAAAGAGCUCGUAGGCGGCUUGUCGCGUCGGCUGUGAAAACCUGGGGCUCAACCCCGGGCCUGCAGCCGAUACGGGCAAGCUAGAAUUCGGUAGGGGAGACUGGAAUUCCCGGUGUAGCGGUGAAAUGCGCAGAUAUCAGGAGGAACACCGGUGGCGAAGGCGGGUCUCUGGGCCGAUACUGACGCUGAGGAGCGAAAGCAUGGGUAGCGAACAGG
rnacentral:rRNA from 1 species